AUUGAACGCUGGCGGCAGGCCUAACACAUGCAAGUCGAGCGGUAGAGAGGUGCUUGCAUCUCUUGAGAGCGGCGGACGGGUGAGUAAUGCCUAGGAAUCUGCCUAGUGGUGGGGGAUAACGUUCGGAAACGGACGCUAAUACCGCAUACGUCCUACGGGAGAAAGCGGGGGAUCUUCGGACCUCGCGCCAUUAGAUGAGCCUAGGUCGGAUUAGCUAGUUGGUGAGGUAAUGGCUCACCAAGGCGACGAUCCGUAACUGGUCUGAGAGGAUGAUCAGUCACACUGGAACUGAGACACGGUCCAGACUCCUACGGGAGGCAGCAGUGGGGAAUAUUGGACAAUGGGCGAAAGCCUGAUCCAGCCAUGCCGCGUGUGUGAAGAAGGUCUUCGGAUUGUAAAGCACUUUAAGUUGGGAGGAAGGUAGUAACCUAAUACG
rnacentral:rRNA from 1 species